UGCUCUUUUGUAGCGGCGCACCUUUGUGGCCUGGCCUUUUGCUGUGGAAGGGAGAAGCAAAUGUUACUUGUCCCCCGUAUAUAGAAGUGUGUUACUGUGUUACUGUUGUUGUUGUUGUUGCCGUAAACUUCAUCACUAUUAAGUUGAAAUCAUUAGAUCGCUAGCUUUUUUAUGUUUUUGUUUUUUAAAAGAUCACUAGCUUAUUUGUUGUUGUUUGUUGUAUAAACACCAGGACUAUCAUGUUGAAACCAUUAGAUCACUAGCUUGUGCUGCCAUUUGUCUAUCUACCGAUCAUCUAUAUUAUUGUACAUUAUUAAGUCUAAACGAUUAAAAGUGCAGCUGUAUUAUUUAGUGUAUAUUAUUAGCUAUUUAUAAGCUCUCGUGUUUCGAUUACCGUGGGAUCAUUCCCCUUUAAUCCAUAUGUGAGGCGGAUAUAAGGAGGCUUGGACUCGUCCGCCAAAUCAAAAUGACGGGAAGGGCCCUUGCCAAAGCCAAAGCCCAUCGGUCCGCCGGGUGCCUCCUCCAGGUCGAUGAGAAAGCAUUCAUGGAGUUGGAGUGAAAUCCAUAAAACCACCACAAAAGCAGUGUUAUUAGUGAAAAAUCACCACUUUACAAACCAUGGCAAAAUUCACCGCGCCAAAAAAAAUUGAAAGUGGCAAAAAAACGAUGAACAAUUUUUAGAUCUCCUUGUGACGUGGCUAACCGUUCGCGGGGUGACGGCACGCGUAACGGCCGCUAACGACUAGUCUGGCCGGCUCGGUCAAAACAACAGCCAACCCAGCUCAUUCACUCACGUCAACUCCACCGCGCGACCCUAUCCUGUUCGUCCCUGUUCGUUUGGGGUAAAAUGGACAAACGAGACGGCCCAACGCACGGGCGCAAACGGAGUUUUGUCCGCUUUGUGUCCGCUUUCGACCCAUCCCUGGCCCAAGUUUGCGCCGGUUUUGGGGUGAAACGGACAGCGCGCGGACGGACGGGACGCGCGCGCUUGUCCUCCCCUGACCCGCCUGUCGGUGGGAGAAACCAAACCCCCCACGCCCAUUUGGCGCCAUUUUCCCCAAACCCUCCCACAUCCCUCCCGCCGCCCCCUCUCUCCCCCGUCCAUGGCCGACGCCCCGCCGAGUUCCGGCGGCCUGGCCGUCGACCCGCCCGCAAAGGUGAAGAAGAAGGCGCCAAGGAAGCCGCGGUCGGAGUGCACGCCGGAGGAGAUCGCCAAGUUGGACGCGGAAUCGGCGAAGAGGAGGGAACGGAGAGCGGUCGUCAAGGUCAAUGCCGCCGUGGCCAAGUUCGCUGCCCAACGCGAUGAGCUGGAGGCCGCGCGGCGCAAGGCCGCGGCCGACGAGAAGGAGGACCUCGUCAACAAAGCGCACGCCAUCCUCAUGCUUGGCAUGGGCCGUCCGGCCGGGUUCCCUGCAGCGGCCGUCGGCCCGGCGAGCACAGGCUCGUCGGUCGCCCGGCCUACGCACUGCCAGUCGCCGACCUCGCGCACCGCGCCCAUGUCGCCCGGCUUUCCUCCGCCAAGGCACGACGGCCAGACCCGUUUCUCGGGGUUGUUAGACGUGGGCUUGUUCGCGCCGUCGACACCGCGCCCCGCGGCCGUCAUCGACCUCAACGUCAUGCCUGGGUCCAGCAGCGGCGGCCGGCCAGCCGCCGAGAUGCAAAGAAAGUAGGCAUGGGCACCGUUCACGGCCACCAUGCCGGCCCCCCGCGUCUUGUUUGACGGAAUGCCAACCCCAACGCCAACGGUCGACGACCCCUUCUACUGUUGGGGAACGUAGCAGAAAUUCAAAAUUUUCCUACGUGUCACCAAGAUCUAUCUAUGGAGAGACCAGCAACGAGUAGAAGGAGAGUGCAUCUACAUACCCUUGUAGAUCGCUAAGCGGAAGCAUUCAAGUGAACGGGGUUGAUGGAGUCGUACUCGUCAUGAUUCAAAUCACCGAUGACCAAGUGCCGAACGGACGGCACCUCCGCGUUCAACACACGUACAGCCCGGUGACGUCUCCCACGCCUUGAUCCAGCAAGGAGAGAGGGAGAGGUUGAGGAAGACUCCAUCCAACAGCAGCACAACAGCGUGGUGGUGGUGGAGGAGCGUGGCAAUCCCGCAGGGCUUCGCCAAGCACCAUGGGAGAAGAGGAGGAGGGAGAGGGGCAGGGCUGCACCAACGAGAGAUCAAAUCGCGUAUUAUGGGCAGCCCCAUGCCUCAAUAUAUAUAGGGGGGAAGGGGGCUGCGCCCCCUUUAGGGUUUUCCCACCCCCUAGGGGCGGCGGCCAGCCCUAGAUGGGUUUUGGGGUGCGGCCAAGAGGGGGGGGAGGAGUCCAUCCUCCCCAAGGCACCUCGGAGGUGCCUUCCCCCUUGAGGACUCUUCCCUCUAGGGUUCCCUAGGCGCAUGGGCCUCUUGGGGCUGGUGCCCUUGGCCCAUGUAGGCCAAGGCGCACCCCCUACAGCCCAUGUGGCCCCCGGGGCAGGUGGCCCCACCCGGUGGGCCCCCGGGACCCUUCCGGUGGUCCCGGUACAAUACCGAUGACCCCGAAACUUGUCCCGAUGGCCGAAACAGGACUUCCUAUAUAUAAAUCUUUACCUUCGGACCAUUCCGGAACUCCUCGUGACGUCCGGGAUCUCAUCCGGGACUCCGAACAACAUUCGGUAACCACAUACAAGCUUCCUUUAUAACCCUAGCGUCAUCGAACCUUAAGUGUGUAGACCCUACGGGUUCGGGAGACAUGCAGACAUGACCGAGACGUUCUCCGGUCAAUAACCAACAGCGGGAUCUGGAUACCCAUGUUGGCUCCCACAUGUUCCACGAUGAUCUCAUCGGAUGAACCACGAUGUCAAGGACUCAAUCGAUCUCGUAUUCAAUUCCCUUUGUCUAUCGGUAUGUUACUUGCCCGAGAUUCGAUCGUCGGUAUACCGAUACCUUGUUCAAUCUCGUUACCGGCAAGUCACUUUACUCGUUCCGUAACACAUCAUCCCGUGAUCAACUCCUUGGUCACAUUGCGCAUAUGAUGAUGUCCUACCGAGUGGGCCCAGAGAUACCUCUCCGUUUACACGGAGUGACAAAUCCCAGUCUCGAUCCGCAUAAAACAAUAGAUACUUUCGGAGAUACCUGUAGUGCACCUUUAUAGUCACCCAGUUACGUUGUGACGUUUGAUACACCCAAAGCAUUCCUACGGUAUCCAGGAGUUACACGAUCUCAUGGUCAAAGGAAGAGAUACUUGACAUUGGCAAAGCUCUAGCAAAUGAACUACACGAUCUUUUAUGCUAGUCUUAGGAUUGGGUCUUGUCCAUCACAUCAUUCUCCUAAUGAUGUGAUCCCGUCAUCAACGACAUCCAAUGUCCAUAGCCAGGAAACCAUGACUAUCUGUUGAUCACAACGAGCUAGUCAACUAGAGGCUCACUAGGGACAUAUUGUGGUCUAUGUAUUCACACGUGUAUUACGAUUUCCGGAUAAUACAGUUAUAGCAUGAAUAAAAGACAAUUAUCAUGAACAAGGAAAUAUAAUAAUAAUACUUUUAUUAUUGCCUCUAGGGCAUAUUUCCAACAGUCUCCCACUUGCACUAGAGUCAAUAAUCUAGUUCACAUCGCCAUGUGAUUAACACUCACAGGUCACAUCGCCAUGUGACUAAUACCCAAGAGUUUACUAGAGUCAGUAGUCUAGUUCACAUCACUAUGUGAUCAACACUCAAUGAGUUUUAUGUUUGAUCAUGUUGCUUGUGAGAGAGGUUUUAGUCAACAGGUCUGAACCUUUCAGAUCCGUGUGUGCUUUACAAAUCUCUAUGUCAUCUCCUAGAUGCAGCUACCACGCUCUAUUUGGAGCUAUUCCAAACAACUGUUCUACUUGGAGCUAUUCUAAAUUAUUGCUCCAUUAUAUGUAUCCGGUCUCUCUACUCAGAGCUAUCUGGAUAGGUGUCAAGCUUGCAUCGUCGUAACCUUUACGACGAACUCUUUUACCACCUCCAUAAUCGAGAAAAUUCCUUAGUCCACUAGUUACUAAGGAUAACUUUGACCGCUGUCCUGUGAGCCAUUCUUGGAUCACUCUUGUACCCCUUGACUGACUCAUGGAAAGGCACACUUCAGGUGCGGUACACAGCAUAGCAUACUGAAGAGCCUACGUCUUAAGCAUAGGGGACGACCUUCGUCCUUUCUCUCUAUUCUGCCGUGGUCGAGCUUUAAGUCUUAACUUCGUACCUUACAACUCAGGCAAGAACUCCUUCUUUGACUGGUCCAUCUUGAACACCUUCAAGAUCAUGUUAAGUUAUGUGCUCAUUUGAAAGUAUUAUUAAGCAUUUUGAUCUAUCCUUAUAGAUCUUGAUGCUCAAUGUUCAAGUAGCUUAAUCCAGGCUUUCUAAUGAAAAACACUUUCAAAAAUAACCCUAUAUGCUUUCUAGAAAUUCUACAUCAUCUCUGAUCAUCAAUAUGUUAAGAACAUAUACUCAUCAGAAAUUCUAUAGUGCUCCCACUCACUUCUUUGGAAAUACAAGUUUCUUAUAAACUUUGUAUAAAUCCAAAAUCUUUGAUCAUCUCAUCAAAGCGUACAUUCCAACUCUGAGAUGCUUACUCCAGUCCUUAAAAGGAUCGCUGGAGCUAGCAUACCUUUUAGCAUCCUUAGGAUCGACAAAAACUUUCUGAUUGUAUUACAUACAACCUUUCCUCACGAAAACUGGUAAGGAAACUCGUUUUGACAUCCAUUUGCCAGAUUUCAUAAAUACAGCUAAUGCUAACAUGAAUCCGACGGACUUUAAGCAUCGCUACGAGUGAGAAAAUCUCAUCGUAGUCAACUCCUUGAACUUGUCGGAAAACACUUCGCCACAAGUCGAGCUUCAUAGAUGGUGACAUUACCAUCCACGUCCGUCUUCUUCUUAAAAGAUCCAUUUAUCUCAAUGGAUUGCCGAUCAUCGGGCAAGUCCAUCAAAGUCCAUGCUUUGUUCUGAUAUAUGGAUACUAUCUCGGAUUUCAUGGCUUCUAACCAUUUGUCGGAAUUCGGGCCCACCAUCGCUUCUCCAUAGCUCGUAGGUUCAUUGUUGUCUAGCAACAUGACCUUCAAGACAGGAUUACGUACCACUCUGAAGUAGUACGCAUCCUUGUCAUCCUACGAGGUUUGGGAGUGACUCGAUCCGAAGUUUCAUGAUCAAUAUCAUAAGCUUCCACUUCAAUUGGUGUAGGUGCCACAGGAACAACUCCCUGUGCCCUGCCACACACUAGUUGAAGAGACGGUUCAAUAACCUCAUCAAGUCUCCACCAUCCUCCCACUCAACUCUUUCGAGAGAAACCUUUCCUCGAGAAAGGACCCGAUUCAAGAAACAAUCCAUAUUGCUUUCGGAUCUGAAUUAGGAGGUAUACCCAACUGUUUUGGGUGUCCUAUGAAGAUGCAUUUUAUCCGCUUUGGGUUCGAGCUUAAUCCUGAAACUUUUUCACAUAAGCGUCGCAGCCCCAAACCUUUAAGAAACGACAACUUAGGUUUCUCUAAACCAUAAUUCAUACGGUGUCAUCUCAACGGAAUUACGUGGUGCCCUAUUUAAAGUGAAUGUGGUUGUCUCUAAUGCCUAACCCAUGAACAAUAGUGGUAAUUCGAUAAGAGACAUCAUGGUACGCACCAUAUCCAAUAGGGUGCAACUAUGAUGUUCGGACACACCAUCACACUAUGGUGUUCCAGGCGGUAUUAAUUGCGAAACAAUUUCCGCAAUGUCUUAAUUGUGUGCCAAAACUCGUAACUCAGAUAUUCAUCUCUAUGAUCAUAUCAUAGACAUUUUAUCCUCUUGUCACAAUGAUCUUCUAUUUCACUCUGAAAUUACUUGAACCAUUCAAUAAUUCAGACUUGUGUUUCAUCAAGUAAAUAUUCUCAACAUCUACUCGAAUCAUCUGUGAAGUAAGAUCAUAAUGAUAUUCACUGCAUGCCUCAGCACUCAUUGGAUUGGACACAUCAAAAUGUGUUACUUCCAACAAGUUGCUAUCUUGUUCCAUCUUACUGAAAACGAGGCUUUUCAGUCAUCUUGCCCAUGUGGUAUGAUUUGCAUAUCUCAAGUGAUUCAAAAUCAAGUGAGUUCAAACGGUCCAUUUGCAUCGAGUUUCUUCAUGCAUAUAUACCAAUAGACAUGGUUCGCAUGUCUCAAACCUUUUCAAAAAUGAGUGAGUCCAAAGAUCCAUCAACAUGGAGCUUCUUCAUGCGUUUUGUACCAUUAUGACUUACAUGGUAGUGCCACAAGUAAGUGGUACUAUCAUUACUAUCUUAUAUCUUUUGGCAUGAAAAUGUGUAUCACUACGAUCGAGAUUCAAUAAACCAUUCAGGUUUAAUACUAAUCUUGAUGGUAGAGGGAGCGUGCGAUGUUUGAUCACAUCAAACUUGGAAACACUUCCAACAUAUAUCAUCAGCUCACCUUUAGCUAGUCUUCGUUUAUUCCGUAGCUUUUAUUUCGAGUUACUAACACUUAGCAACCGAACCGGUAUCUAAUACCCUGGUGCUACUAGGAGUACUAGUAAAGUACACAUUAACACAAUGUAUAUCCAAUAUAUUUCUAUCGACCUUGCCAGCCUUCUCAUCUACCAAGUAUCUAGGGUAAUCCUGCUCCAGUGGUUGUUCCCCUUAUUACAGAAGCACUUAGUCUCGGGUUUGGGUUCAACCUCGGGUUUCUUCACUAGAGCAGCAGCUGAAUUGCCGUUUCAUGAAGUAUCCCUUCUUGCCCUUGCCCUUCUUGAAACUAGUGGUCUCACUGACCAUCAACAAUUGAUGCUCCUUCUUGAUUUCUACUUUCGCGGUGUCAAACAUCACGAAUGUUUCAAGGAUCAUCAUAUCUAUCCCUGAUAUGUUAUAGUUCAUCACGAAACUCUAGCAACUUGGUGGCAAUGACUUUGGGGAAACAUCACUAUCUCAUCUGGAAGAUCAACUCCCACUCGAUUCAAGUGAUUGUUGCACUCAGACAAUCUGAGCACAAGCUCAACGAUUGAGCUUUUAUCCCUUAGUUUGCAGGCUAAGAAAACCGUCGGAGGUCUCAUACCUCUUGACGUGGGCACGAGCCUGAAAUCCCAAUUUCAGCCCUCGAAACAUCUCAUAUGUUCCGUGACGUUUCGAAAACGUCUUUGGUGCCUCUACUUAAACCAUUUAACUGAACUAUCACGUAGUUAUCAAAACGUGUAUGUCCGAUGUUCGCAACAUCGACAAACGACGUUGGGGUUCAGCACACUGAGCGGUGCAUUAAGGACAUAAGCUUUCUACUGAUCGCAUAAUCGCUACUAUCAACUUUCAACUAUAAUUUUCUCUAGGAACAUAUCUAAACAGUGGAACUAAAGCGCGAGCUUACGACAUAAUUUGCAAAAGGUCUUUUGACUAUGUUCAGGAUAAUUAAGUUCAUCUUAUGAACUCCCACUUAGAUAGACAUCCCUCUGGUCAUCUAAGUGAUCACAUGAUCCGAGUCAACUAGGCCGUGUCCGAUCAUCACGUGAGACGGACUAGUCAUCAUCGGUGAACAUCUUCAUGUUGAUCGUAUCUACCAUACGACUCAUGCUCGACCUUUCGGUCUCCGUGUUCCGAGGCCAUGUCUGCACAUGCUAGGCUCGUCAAGUUAACCCUAAGUGUUUUCGCUGUGUAAAACUGUCUUACACCCGUUGUAUGUGAACGUAAGAAUCCAUCACACCCGAUCAUCACGUGGUGCUUAGAAGCGACGAACUGUAGCAACGAUGCACAGUUAGGGGAGAACACUUCUUGAAAUUUUGUAAGGGAUCAUCUUAUUUACUACCGUCGUCCUAAGCAAACAAGAUGCAUAAACAUGAUAAACAUCACAUGCAAUCAAAUAGUGACAUGAUAUGGCCAAUAUCAUUUUGCUCCUUUUGAUCUUCAUCUUCGGGGCUCCAUGAUCAUCAUCGUCACCGGCACGACACCAUGAUCUCCAUCAUCAUGAUCUCCAUCAUCGUGUCUUCAUGAAGUUGUCACGCCAACGACUACUUCUACUUCUAUGACUAACGCGUUUAGCAAUAAAGUAAAGUAGUUUACAUGGCGUUCUUCAAUGACACACAGGUCAUACAAUAAAUAAAGACAACUCCUAUGGCUCCUGCCGGUUGUCAUACUCAUCGACAUGCAAGUCGUGAAUCCUAUUACAAGAACAUGAUCAAUCUCAUACAUCACAUAUCAUUCAUCACAUUCUUCUUGGCCAUAUCACAUCACAUAACAUACCCUGCAAAAACAAGUUAGACGUCCUCUAAUUGUUGUUGCAUGUUUUACGUGGCUGCUAUGGGUUUCUAGCAAGAACGUUUCUUACCUACGCAAGACCACAACGUGAUAUGCCAAUUGCUAUUUACCCUUCAUAAGGACCCUUUUCAUCGAAUCCGUUCCGACUAAAGUGGGAGAGACUGGCACCCGCUAGCCACCUUAUGCACCAAGUGCAUGUCAAUCGGUGGAACCUGUCUCACGUAAGAGUACGUGUAAGGUCGGUCCGGGCCGCUUCAUCCCACAAUACCGUCGAAACAAGAUUGGACUAGUAACGGUAAGCAUAUUGAACAACAUCAACGCCCACAACUACUUUGUGUUCUACUCGUGCAAAGAAUCUACGCAAUAGACCUAGCUCAUGAUGCCACUUUUGGGGAACGUAGCAGAAAUUCAAAAUUUUCCUACGUAACACCAAGAUCUAUCUAUGGAGAGACCAGCAACGAGUAGAAAGGGGAGUGCAUCUACAUACCCUUGUAGAUCGCUAAGCGGAAGCGUUCAAGUGAACGGGGUUGAUGGAGUCGUACUCGUCGUGAUUCAGAUCACCGAUGAUCCUAGUGCCGAACGGACGGCACCUCCGCGUUCAACACACGUACAGCUCGACGAUGUCUCCCACGCCUUGAUCCAGCAAGGAGAGAGGGAGAGGUUGAGGAAGACUCCAUCCAGCAGCAGCACAACGGCGUGGUGGUGAUGGAGGAGCGUGGCAAUCCUGCAGGGCUUCGCCAAGCACCUACGGGAGAGGAGGAGGUGUCACGGGAGGGAGGGAGGCGCCAAGGGCUCAGGUAUGGAUGCCCUUAACUUCGUACCUUACAACUCAGGCAAGAACUCCUUUUUUGACUGAUCCAUCUUGAACACCUUCAAGAUCACGUCAAGGCAUGUGCUCAUUUGAAAGUACCAUUAAGCGUUUUGAUCUAUCCUUAUAGAUCUUGAUGCUCAAUGUUCAAGUAGCUUAAUCCAGGUUUUCCAUUGAAAACACUUUCCAAAUAACCCUAUAUGCUUUCCAGAAAUUCUACGUCAUUUCUGAUCAUUAAUAUGUCAACAACAUAUACUCAUCAGAAAUUCUAUAGUGCUCCCACUCACUUCUUUGGAAAUACAAGUUUCUCAUAAACUUUGUAUACACCCUAAAUCUUUGAUCAUCAUCAAAGCAUACAUUCCAACUCCGAGAUGCUCACUCCAGUCCUCAGAAGGAUUGCUGGAGCUUUGCAUACUUAUUAGCAUAUUUCAGGAUAGACAAAACCUUCCGGUUGUAUCACAUACAACCUUUCCUCAAGAAUCGUCGAGGAAACAAUGUUUUGACAUCCUAUCUGCAAGAUUUCAUAAAUAAUGCAGUAAUUGCUAAUAUAAUUCCAACAUACUCUUAGCAUCGCUACGAGUGAGAAAGUCUCAUCGUAGUCAACUCCUUGAACUUGUCGAAAAACAUCUCAACGACAAGUCGACCUUUCUCAAUGGUGACACUUACCAUCAUUGUCUGUCUUCCUUUCAAAAUCCAUAUGUACCUAACAGCCUUAUGACCAUCAAGUAGUUCUUCCAAAGUCUACACUUUGUUUUCAUACAUGGAUCCUCUCUCGGGUUUUAUGGCCUUGAGCCAUUUAUCGGAAUCCAGGCCCACCAUCGCUUCUCCAUAGCUCGUAGGUUCAUUGUUGUCUAGCAACAUGACUUCCAAGACAGGAUUACUGUACCACUCUGAAGUAGUACGUAUCCUUGUCACCCUACGAGGUUUGGGAGUGACUUGAUCUGAAGUUUCAUGAUCACUAUCAUAAGCUUCUACUUCAAUUGGUGUAGGUGCCACAGGAACAACUUCCUGUGCCCUGCUACACACUGGUUGAAGUGAUGGUUCAGUAACCUCAUCAAGUCUCCACCAUCCUCCCACUCAAUUCUUUCGAGAGAAACCUUUCCUCGAGAAAGGACCCAAUUCUAGAAACAAUUCAUAUUGCCUUCGGAUCUGAAUUAGGAGGUAUACCCAACUGUUUUGGGUGUCCUAUGAAGAUGUACUUUAUCCGCUUUGGGUUCGAGCUUAAUCCUGAAACUUUUUCACAUAAGCGUCGCAGCCCCAAACCUUUAAGAAAUGACAACUUAGGUUUCUCUAAACCAUAAUUCAUACGGUGUCAUCUCAUCGGAAUUACGUGGUGCCCUAUUUAAAGUGAAUGUGGUUGUCUUUAAUGCCUAACCCAUAAACUAUCCUGGCAGUUCGAUAAGAGACAUCAUGGUAUGCAUCAUAUCCAAUAGGGUGCAACUAUGAUGUUCGGACACACCAUCACACUAUGGUGUUCCAGGCGGUAUUAAUUGUGAAACAAUUUCCACAAUGUCUUAAUUGUGUGCCAAAACUCGUAACUCAGAUACUCAUCUCUAUGAUCAUAUCAUAGACAUUUUAUCCUCUUGUCACAAUCUUCUACUUCACUCUGAAAUUACUUGAACCAUUCAAUAAUUCAGACUUGUGUUUCAUCAAGUAAAUAUUCUCAACAUCUACUCGAAUCAUCUGUGAAGUAAGAACAUAACGAUAUUCACUGCAUGCCUCAGCACUCAUUGGACUGCACGCAUCAAAAUGUGUUGCUUCCAACAAGUUGCUAUCUUGUUACAUCUUACUGAAAACGAGGCUUUUCAGUCAUCUUGCCCAUGUGGUAUGAUUUGCAUGUCCCAAGUGAUUCAAAAUCAAGUGAGUCAAAACGGUCCAUUUGCAUGGAGUUUCUUCAUGCAUAUACACCAAUAGACAUGGUUCGCAUGUCUCAAACUUUUCAAAAACGAGUGAGCCCAAAGAUCCAUCAAUAUGGAGCUUCUUCAUGCGUUUUAUACCGAUAUGACUUACGUGGCAGUGCCACAAGUAGGUGGUUCUAUCAUUACUAUCUUUUGGCAUGAACAUGUGUAUCACUACGAUCGAGAUUUAAUAAACCAUUCAUUUUAGGUGUAAGACCAUUGAAGGUAUUAUUCAAAUAAACAGAGUAACGAUUAUUCUCCUUAAAUGAAUAACCGUAUUGCGAUAGACGUAAUCCAAUCAUGUCUAUGCUCAACGCAAACACCAAACAACAAUUAUUUAGGUUUAACACCAAUCUCUUUGGUAGAGGGAGCGUGCGAUGCUUGAUCAUAUGAAGCUUGGAAAAACUUCCAACACAUAUCGUCAGCUCACCUUUAGCUAGUCUCCGUUUAUUCCGUAGCCUUUUGUUUCGAGUUACUAACACUUAGCAACCGAACCGGUAUCUAAUACCCUGGUGCUACUAGGAGUACUAGCAAAGUACACAUUAACACAAUGUAUAUCCAAUAUACUUCUAUCGACCUUGCCAGCCUUCUUAUCUACCAAGUAUCUAGGGUAAUUCUGCUCUAGUGGUUGUUCCCCUUAUUACAGAAGCACUUAGUCUCGGGUUUGGGUUUUACCUUGGGUUUCUUCACUAGAGCAGCAGCUGAUUUGCCGUUUCAUGAAGUAUCCCUUCUUGCCCUUGCCCUUCUUGAAACUAGUGGUUUCACCAACCAUCAACAAUUGAUGCUCCUUCUUGAUUUCUACUUUCGCGGUGUCAAACAUCGCGAAUACCUCAAGGAUCAUCAUAUCUAUCCCUGAUAUGUUAUAGUUCAUCACGAAGCUCUAACAGCUUGGUGGCAAUGACUUUGGAGAACCAUCACUGUUUCAUCUGGAAGAUCAACUCCCACUCGAUUCAAAUGAUUGUUGUACUCAGACAAUCUGAGCACAAGCUCAACAAUUGAGCUUUUCUCCUUAGUUUGCAGGUUAAGAAAGUCAUCGGAGGUCUUAUACCUCUUGACAUGGGCACGAGCCUGAAAUCCCAAUUUCAGCCCUCAAAACAUCUCAUAUGUUUCGCGAUGUUUCAAAAACGUCUUUGGUGCCUCAACUCUAAACCGUUUAACUGAACUAUCACGUAGUUAUCAAAACGUGUAUGUCAGAUGUUCGCAACAACCACAGACAACGUUCGAGGUUCAGCACACUGAGCGGUGCAUUAAGGACAUAAGCCUUCUAUGAAGCAAUGAGGACAAUCCUCAGUUUACGGACCUAGUCCGCAUAAUUGCUACUAUCAACUUUCAACUAAUUUUUCUCUAGGAACAUAUCUAAACAGUAGAACUAUAGCGUGAGCUACGACAUAAUUUGCAAAAACCUUUUGACUAUGUUCAGGAUAAUUAAGUUCAUCUUAUGAACUCCCACUUAGAUAGACAUCCCUCUGGUCAUCUAAGUGAUCACAUGAUCCGAGUCAACUAGGCCGUGUCCGAUCAUCACGUGAGACGGACUAGUCAUCAUCGGUGAACAUCUUCAUGUUGAUCGUAUCUACUAUACGACUCAUGCUCGACCUUUCGGUCUCCGUGUUCCGAGGCCAUGUCUGCACAUGCUAGGCUCGUCAAGUUAACCCUAAGUGUUUUCGCUGUGUAAAACUGUCUUACACCCGUUGUAUGUGAACGUAAGAAUCCAUCACACCCGAUCAUCACGUGGUGCUUAGAAGCGACGAACUGUAGCAACGGUGCACAGUUAGGGGAGAACACUUCUUGAAAUUUUGUAAGGGAUCAUCUUAUUCACUACCGUCGUCCUAAGUAAACAAGAUGCAUAAACAUGAUAAACAUCACAUGCAAUCAAAUAGAGUAGUGACAUGAUAUGGCCAAUAUCAUAUAGCUCCUUUGAUCUUCAUCUUCGGGGCUCCAUGAUCAUCUUGUCACCGGCUUGACACCAUGAUCUCCAUCAUCAUGAUCUCCAUCAUCGUGUCUUCAUGAAGUUGUCACGCCAACGACUACUUCUACUUCUAUGACUAACGCGUUUAGCAAUAAAGUAAAGUAGUUUACAUGGCGUUCUUCAAUGACACGCAGGUCAUACAAUAAAUAAAGACAACUCCUAUGGCUCCUGCCGGUUGUCAUACUCAUCGACAUGCAAGUCGUGAAUCCUAUUACAAGAACAUGAUCAAUCUCAUACAUCACAUAUCAUUCAUCACAUUCUUCUUGGCCAUAUCACAUCACAUAGCAUAACCUGCAAAAACAAGUUAGACGUCCUCUAAUUGUUGUUGCAUGUUUUACGUGGCUGCUAUGGGUUUCUAGCAAGAACGUUUCUUACCUACGCAAGACCACAACGUGAUAUGCCAAUUGCUAUUUACCCUUCAUAAGGACCCUUUUCAUCGAAUCCGUUCCGACUAAAGUGGGAUAGACUGGCACCCGCUAGCCACCUUAUGCACCAAGUGCAUGUCAAUCGGUGGAACCUGUCUCACGUAAGAGUACGUGUAAGGUCGGUCCGGGCCGCUUCAUCCCACAAUACCGUCGAAACAAGAUUGGACUAGUAACGGUAAGCAUAUUGAACAACAUCAACGCCCACAACUACUUUGUGUUCUACUCGUGCAAAGAAUCUACGCAAUAGACCUAGCUCAUGAUGCCACUGUUGGGGAACGUAGCAGAAAUUCAAAAUUUUCCUACGUGUCACCAAGAUCUAUCUAUGGAGAGACCAGCAACGAGUAGAAGGAGAGUGCAUCUACAUACCCUUGUAGAUCGCUAAGCGGAAGCGUUCAAGUGAACGGGGUUGAUGGAGUCGUACUCGUCGUGAUUCAAAUCACCGAUGACCAAGUGCCGAACGGACGGCACCUCCGCGUUCAACACACGUACAGCCCGGUGACGUCUCCCACGCCUUGAUCCAGCAAGGAGAGAGGGAGAGGUUGAGGAAGACUCCAUCCAACAGCAGCACAACGGCGUGGUGGUGGUGGAGGAGCGUGGCAAUCCCGCAGGACUUCGCCAAGCACCAUGGGAGAAGAGGAGGAGGGAGAGGGGCAGGGCUGCACCAACGAGAGAUCAAAUCGCGUAUUAUGGGCAGCCCCAUGCCUCAAUAUAUAUAGGGGGGAAGGGGGCUGCGCCCCCUUUAGGGUUUUCCCACCCCCUAGGGGCGGCGGCCAGCCCUAGAUGGGUUUUGGGGUGCGGCCAAGAGGGGGGGGAGGAGUCCAUCCUCCCCAAGGCACCUCGGAGGUGCCUUCCCCCUUGAGGACUCUUCCCUCUAGGGUUCCCUAGGCGCAUGGGCCUCUUGGGGCUGGUGCCCUUGGCCCAUGUAGGCCAAGGCGCACCCCCUACAGCCCAUGUGGCCCCCGGGGCAGGUGGCCCCACCCGGUGGGCCCCCGGGACCCUUCCGGUGGUCCCGGUACAAUACCGAUGACCCCGAAACUUGUCCCGAUGGCCGAAACAGGACUUCCUAUAUAUAAAUCUUUACCUUCGGACCAUUCCGGAACUCCUCGUGACAUCCGGGAUCUCAUCCGGGACUCCGAACAACAUUCGGUAACCACAUACAAGCUUCCUUUAUAACCCUAGCGUCAUCGAACCUUAAGUGUGUAGACCCUACGGGUUCGGGAGACAUGCAGACAUGACCGAGACGUUCUCCGGUCAAUAACCAACAGCGGGAUCUGGAUACCCAUGUUGGCUCCCACAUGUUCCACGAUGAUCUCAUCGGAUGAACCACGAUGUCAAGGACUCAAUCGAUCCCGUAUUCAAUUCCCUUUGUCUAUCGGUAUGUUACUUGCCCGAGAUUCGAUCGUCGGUAUACCGAUACCUUGUUCAAUCUCGUUAUCGGCAAGUCACUUUACUCGUUCCGUAACACAUCAUCCCGUGAUCAACUCCUUGGUCACAUUGCGCAUAUGAUGAUGUCCUACCGAGUGGGCCCAGAGAUACCUCUCCGUUUACACGGAGUGACAAAUCCCAGUCUCGAUCCGCAUAAAACAAUAGAUACUUUCGGAGAUACCUGUAGUGCACCUUUAUAGUCACCCAGUUACGUUGUGAUGUUUGAUACACCCAAAGCACUCCUACGGUAUCCAGGAGUUACACGAUCUCAUGGUCAAAGGAAGAGAUACUUGACAUUGGCAAAGCUCUAGCAAAUGAACUACACGAUCUUUUAUGCUAGUCUUAGGAUUGGGUCUUGUCCAUCACAUCAUUCUCCUAAUGAUGUGAUCCUGUCAUCAACGACAUCCAAUGUCCAUAGCCAGGAAACCAUGACUAUCUGUUGAUCACAACGAGCUAGUCAACUAGAGGCUCACUAGGGACAUAUUGUGGUCUAUGUAUUCACACGUGUAUUACGAUUUCCGGAUAAUACAGUUAUAGCAUGAAUAAAAGACAAUUAUCAUGAACAAGGAAAUAUAAUAAUAAUAUUUUUAUUAUUGUCUCUAGGGCAUAUUUCCAACAUCUACAACCAGUACAUGGAGGACGUGAUCUUCGAGGGUGGGCAUGGCCGUGCCUACGACCCCGAGGAGACCCAAAGUCAGGAUGGUCGUGCCCAGUACGUGCCCAAUGAAGAGGCCGACGACCGUGCUGACUACGACCAUGGUGACUCGUGGCAUGAGGAUGAUGACAUCUAUGUCGAAGGUGAUGGUGAUGAAGAAGAAGGCAAUGACGUUGAUAUUAGUGGCGAGCCAUUGUUCAUCGACGAGCUCACCCAAAGAGCGGAAGCACAAAAGAAGAGAAAGAGCAUUCGCACGGGUUCAUACACACAAGAUAAAGACAAGUUGAUUUGCCAAGCUUGGAUGGAGAUUAGCCAAGAUUCGAGGACCGGCGCGCAACAAAAGGGCAUUAUUUUUUGGACGAGAGUCCACAAAACAUUCAAUGAAAGGAAGAUGUUCGAGCCCUACCAAAUUACAAGCAACCGUGGCAUCGGCUCGAUUCAAAAGAGAUGAUUGUUCAUCCAAUAAGAGUGCAACAAGUAUCAAGCCGCAUUUGAGAGCGUUCAAGCACGACCCGUGAGUGGUCUCGGCGUUGGGGACACGGUAUGCUCUCCUCUUCCUAGCCCUUUCCUUACUACGGCCAUGAGACUUCGGCCUUGUAUAUGUUUGCAUGUUCACUUCUUUUUGAUCAUGUGUUGUAGGUAUUUCAAUCUUUGAAGGCAUUCAAGGCCCGGCACAAUGACAAGCCAUUCACUCUUACGCAUUGUUGGACGCUCAUCAACAAUUAUCCUAAGUUCAAGGGCCAAUACCGUGAACUACAAAGGAAGAGAGGACUGAAGACGGCCAAGUUCGUCGGAGGUAGAGAUGGCGAGGCGUUGAAGAGGCCGAGGGGCAAGACCAACUCCAAGGUUGAUGACAUACGUGAUGCCUCAUCCAUGGCAUUGCAUGACACUUUGCAUGGCAUGAUGUCUCAAAAGGAUGUGAGGAACAAGAAGAAGCGGCAAAGCAAGGACGAGCAAAUGAAGCAAUACCUAGACCUUCAAAGAAAGAAGCUUGAGAUGGAGGAGGCGACCAAGAAGAGGAAGAUCGACAUGGAGGAGGCGGCCCGGCAAAGGCAGCUCGACAUGGAAGAGGCCGCCCGGCAAAGGCAUCUCGACAUCGAGGCCGACAACGUCAAGGCCAGGCAGAGGCAGCUCGACAUCGAGGCCACCAAUGCCGCCACCAAAGCGAAGGAGGUGGCCCUUACGAUCAUGAGCGUGGACUUGUCGAAAAUGAGCGACAAGACGAGGGCCUGGUUCGAGGCCAGGCAAAAGGAGAUGCUCGACGCCGAAGGCCUGAACUAGGUCGUCCGAUCGGCGUGGCCGUUCUUUUUGGAGGCUGGCAUGGGUGUCGCUCGCCCGCUGGGCCGCUGACAGUGUGCCGACGAGAAAACAUUCAUUUUGGAGGCCGACUAUGUUGCCGGCCGCUGGCUGUGUUGCCGGCGAGGACAACUAUUCAUUUUGGAGGCUGGCUGUGUUGCCGGCCGCUGGCGAUGGACGUGUAGGCCGCUGGCUUUGUUGCCGGCGUGAUGAACUGGGGCCGUGAACUAGGGCUUGACAUUUGAAACGUUGCUCUUUUUUUAAAUAGACGCGGACAGGACGGGGCAAACGGAUGCGGCCGCGCGCUGGGCGCACGGCCACCGCAUCUCAGGACACGCCCGGACACGACCCCAAAUCUCUACUCAAACGGACAUAAUUCGGAAAAAACGGACGUCCGUUUGAGGUCGCGUGGUAAAGUUGGCCUCACACUCCUCUCUCGCUGCUCCUUCACUCUCGCGCCCUCUCACCUCUGCGCCGCCGCCAACGCCGCUUACCCUCGCCGUCGACACACAAUGCCUUCUUGAAAAGACAAGGACGAGAUAGCGAGAGAAUCUUGUAGGUGCUGACUAGUUAGUAGUUAACUGAAUUUACUUUUUUUACUAAAUCUUCUAGGUGUUUAGCAGUUAACUAGUUAACUAACUUUCACUUUUAACCGAAUCUUGUAGUGCUGACUAGCUAACUCGUUAACUAAAUUUUGGUUUUAACGGAAUCUUGUAGGUGUUCAGUGACUUUUGGUUUUAACUGAAUCUUGCAGGUGUUCACUAGCUAACUAGUUAACUGACUUUUUGGUUUUAACUGAAUCUUGCAGAACCCCACAAAAAAAAACUGAAUCUUGCAGGUGUUCACUAGCUAACUAGUUAACUGACUUUUGGUUUUAACCAAAUCUUGUAGGUGUUCACUAGUUAACUCACUUUUGUUUUUUAUCAAAACUUGUAGGUGUUCACUAUUCAACUAGUAAAUUGACCUUUUGUUUUAACUGAACCUUAUAGGUGUUCACUAGUUAGCUAUUUAACUGAUUUUUUUAGUCAAAUCUUGUAGGUGUUCACUAGUUAACUAGUUAAUCAAAGUUUUGUUUUAAUUGAGUUUAGUUUAACUAGUGAACUGAAUUUAUGUGCUUGACAAAAUUUUGAACAUGUUUCAUGAGCAAAACUAUGAAAGGGUGAUGGAUAGACAGACUUAUGACAAAGAGAUUGCCAAGCAUAAGAAGCAGAAUGAUGUGAGCUCGAGCUCAUAAGAAGCAGAUUGACAUGUUUCAUGGGCAAUUGCCAGUGCAUAGAGUUUGUGAGCUCGAGCUCACGUGCACCCUUUGCUACAUUAAAUUUCAAAAUACAUAAAGAAAAUUUAAAAAUGAUUUGUUCGUUCAUUCACUUCGAUCCGUAAGUAGUUCAUAUUAAAAUAUUCAAAACAUUUUGUAUUUGUAAAUGAAGGGAGUACUUGAGUUCGACAUCGUUUGUGCUCAGAUUCUUUUGCAUGGUUCAUAAAAAACAUAUGCAUGCAUGGUUUAGAUUCAACUAUACUCCUUGUGUGCUUCAGUUUGGGUAGUUCUGUAAAGCACCAGAUACAUUCCUUCACUCACCAUGUGCCUUGGUUGAUGAGAUUUCAGAUUUGAACUCUAUAAACCGGAAAGGAGGGGUAUGUCCUCUUGCUGCGAAGUAAGCAUAGUUUAGAUGGUUAGACUCUUUGUUGCGCAUGCAUAUUUUUAGGAUUUUUUUUUCAGAUUCUAUGGCACUACUCUUUUUGUGGUGUACGGUGUGCCCGUCGAUUAUGAGGCGCUCUUUUACAAAAAAGGACUAUACGCGUCAUCUUCCUUGUUAGACCAACUAAAACAUGUAAGAACAUGGUGAUAAAUUAACUUCUUCAGACUGACAGUUAGAACUGCGUUUACCUUUUUUUCCAGCUAGGAACGCGCUUACUUGGACAGAUAGAUAUCCCCUUCAUUUAUUUAUUCGGGAUCAGCUCAUCACCAACACUAGUAGCUAUUCAAAUCCAGACCUAGAAAUUAGGAAAGUGGACGAGUCAAAUAUGACAUGCCUGGUUCAGGUUCAACUGUAUAAUCUUUAUAAGCUUGUUAGACCAGCUAGAAACUUCUACAUCCAACAAUUAUGAAUAAGAUUAAGAACACUAACGACUUUUGAGACAGAGACACAUACAUUUGGCCGGUGUGCUUACUUAGCUACAAAUCUCUAAUAAUCAGCACUACAGAUGUAGUACCAGAUAAUCGGUAGCAAAAGCCCCGUGAAGAGCUACAAAAGUCCAUAGACCGCCUAAUUGACACCAACGACUAAAAUCUCCUUGUGCUUCGGGCCCCCAUAGUAGCAACAAAGAGUGUGCUAAACUAUUGGCAGGGGUAGAAACUGUUGCGGUUAAGAAAUUACAACCUUCCAAAUAGAAACUAGCCAAUCCAUGGGUAUACCAAGAAGUUAUAAAAGUUGUCUCUGUAAACCAACCCCCUAAAGCGAAAUAAGCACAAGGAAAGAGCAAUAGGCCAGACCAUCCUAUCCACAACUACCAUUUGGGCGAGUCAAAGUUGACAUAUAUAUGCAUGGUUCAGGUUCAACUAUAUGUUGUUUUGCUUGUUAGACCAGCUAAAACAGAUAAAACAUGAUGAUAAAACAUGAUUAACUUCUUCAGGCAGACUGUUAAGAGCGCGCUUACUUUUCAUUUCCCGGUAGGAACACGCUUACUAGGAUAGAUACAUACACUGUCUUCAUGUUCUAAUAUUCAUAUUUUUGUUUCCACAAAGACUUAGACACAUACACUUGUCUAUACUCUUGGUUCGGCGUGCUUACUUGGCUAUAAAUAACUUCUCUCUGUUUUAACAUCUCCUGUUUCAUUACCGCAAGGAACUCCAAAUUUCCGAUCAUCAUAUCUAAACACGAGAAGCCGAGCGCCUGGGGACGAAAACCAUGACUAUUCUCUCCAAGGAUGCACCUGCGGAGAUCUCCCACCCCGCCCACCCGGAGCACAAGCUGAAGCUGACGGCCGCCGGCGCGGCGGAGUUCCAGUGCGACGUCUGCAAGGAGCUAGGCGCCGGGGACCGGUACACGUGCCGGCCCUGUGACUUCGACCUCCACAGCGACUGCGCCCUCGCAGAGGCCACGCUGGCGCACCCAUUGCUCAAGGGCAGAGAGCUCCAGCUCCGCUACGGCGACGACGGCGGCAGGACAUGUGGCGCCUGCGGCGGGAAGGUACUCGGGCUGCACUACCACUGCGCCGCCAAGAAGGGCAUGGACCUCCACCCGUGCUGCGCGGCGCUGCCGCUGGCGAUCCCCCAGGAGGAGCUCACGCUCGAGCUCCGGAAGGAGGCGUCUCACCGGUGCAGCAGCUGCCGGGAGAGAGGCAGGGGCAGGACCUGGUUCUACCGCUCCACCUGCAAGACCGUGUACCUGCACGUCGCCUGCGUCAGAGAGAUCGCUCGCCGGAGCCGUGCCGCCGGCGACGGCUCGAGCACCGAUCCGUUCGCUUCCGUCAAGGAUGCGGCGCUGCAGAUCUACCGCGCAAAGAGGGACGAGAGUGAGUUGGAGCGCGUCAUUCUCGAGCUGGUUCUUGGAGGUUGAUGCCGCAAAGCUUUUCUCCCAAAGGAAGAUUUGCAGGUUGAUUACACAAUUUGCUAAUGAGCCAACGGGACUAUUCCGUAGUAUGUACUGCCUAAACCGCGUGUGUAUUUUAUGGACUUUUACGAUUAUUUCACAGGUCUUAGAUUUUCUUUCUUCCAUGUAAGAAGAACAUUGUCACGUACGUGUAAAUAUAUAGCAAAAAGUCUAUGGUAUAGAGUUCCAAGAGAUGCGUAUUGCCGAUGUACAUUGACUAUUCGCUGCUACGUUGAGACUCUGGGGCCUGCCUGAGCAGAAAAAUUUGAAGAUCACUAGACCACUAGACCAACGUACAACAUAAAGCGGGGAUAGCUCAGUUGGGAGAGCGUCAGACUGAAGAUCUGAAGGUCGCGUGUUCGAUCCACGCUCACCGCACAAUAUUCUUUUUUUACCUCCGUAAUCUCGGUAUUGUUGAAGACAAAGGUGGUUUACAUCACAAGUUGUCAAAGUAAAUAUCACUUGUUUCGAUCCGUGCUCACAUGUUGCUUCUGCUAACAAUGAUUCUUCCACUUUAAUCUCCUAUGCUCAAAUAUCAUGUUGCACAUGUAUUCAAAUAUUUGCAAACACUUCAAUCUCUAAAAAAGAGAGUGCUACAGUUUUGUGCGAGUCCUUUUGUAACAUAUCCNNNNNNNNNNNNNNNNNNNNNNNNNNNNNNNNNNNNNNNNNNNNNNNNNNNNNNNNNNNNNNNNNNNNNNNNNNNNNNNNNNNNNNNNNNNNNNNNNNNNNNNNNNNNNNNNNNNNNNNNNNNNNNNNNNNNNNNNNNNNNNNNNNNNNNNNNNNNNNNNNNNNNNNNNNNNNNNNNNNNNNNNNNNNNNNNNNNNNNNNNNNNNNNNNNNNNNNNNNNNNNNNNNNNNNNNNNNNNNNNNNNNNNNNNNNNNNNNNNNNNNNNNNNNNNNNNNNNNNNNNNCCCAAUGGUGUGGUUCUCUCAGCUGCGGGAUCUGUGCCCUCCAAUGGAGGGUUUGAUAUUCAUAAGAUAUCCAUGCAGUUUUCCAAUAUCGACAUGCCAGACUACUAGAAAAUCGCUAACAAGCUUGCGAUGCACGGCACCCCAUCCAUAGGACAACUCCCCUCCCAGAUGACAGACACCGCAAGAAUCCUCAAUUUCCACAAGCACACACGUUAAGAGACCCGCUUCGGUACACCCCCCUCACGGAGCUUAUAAAGGGCAAUGUAGACAUUUGAUAAAUCAUAUCCAUUUUUGUACGUAUGAUGGAUCGCUCGUAUACGCCGUACGUUCGGAGGACCUCCUUUAUGCCGCAAUACGAAAUAGGCACAACUAACCUAGGCCAGCCCAUUUGCGCUGGAAAAUCAACAAAAAUAACGCCCUAGAUGGGAAUCAAACUCGCGACCAGGGCUAUAAUGGCUCUCAUUGCUGGCCACUUCGGCUCGCUGCCUCAAAUGCUGAAUUGCAGUGCCAACCUUCAAGAAAAUAACAAAAGCAGCAACACUUAAACACCAAUUCACAAAUACUAAACAGGGUAAGAGGAUCUAACACGCAAACUCAUAGAGUGCAUAACGUCACUAGCCCCUAAAUUUUUUUUUCAAAAAAAAUCGUAUGUGAAUUUCUUUUUGACAAAGUAAAUGUUUUUGAAACCCGAAAUUUUUCAAAAUUUGUGAACAUAUUUUUAAAAACUCAAACUUUUUGUGAACAAUGUUUCACAAUCUCAAACUUUUUUAAAAAUAGGAGCAAAAUUGAAAACGAGAAUAUUUUUCGAAACUACAAAUAUUUUUCUAAAAAUACAAACAUUUUCUGAAAACAGGAACAAAACUAAAAACACAGACAUCCUCUCAAACUACGAACAAUUUUUCAAAACGCGAACAUCUUAUGAAUUCCUCGAAAUGUUUGUGUUUUCAAAAUUUCUCAUAAUUUCAAGACACAAAAAUUUUAAAAAGAGCAAACAUAAUUUUGAACAUGAACAUUUUUAUUUUUUUACAUUUUAUGAAAACACUAAAAAAUUUGGAAUUUCAAAAUAUUUCAGAAAAAUACGAAAAAAAUAUGGAAUUUUUUUUUGAAUUUGCUCGAAUUUUUUUGUAUUCGUGUAGAAAAUAUCACCAUGUUCAACAUAGGGUGUCCGGGUAGGUGAGAAGGCUCCAUCUGAGAGCAUGUUGUUUCUCGACAUCCGUCGAACGACCCUAAUUUUUUUCAUUGGCUUGUAUGAACAAUUCAAGGCAGCAUGCCAAGGUUUUUUGGUUUUCUACAAAUUUUACGGUUUCUGGAGUUUUCUUGGUCAAAAAAGGGCGAUAAAUUACCGGACGUGUUGCAACUUGCAUAUGGUGUCGAAAAAUUGUUCAAACAUGGCAUGGAUUCCUACCAUGGGCAUGCCCAGCUGGUUGCAAAGUUGGGUCAUUUCAAGUGUAUCCAAAAAUAGACCAUGUUCAAAGCACGUUGUUUCUCGACAUCCUUGAAAUGGCCCCGAUUUUGCCCAUGGCCUUGUAUGACCAAUUUAAGGCACCAUGCCAAGUUGUUUUGGUUUACAAUAAAUUUUGCAUUUUCUAAAGUUUUCUCGGUAAAAAAAUCCAAUAACUACUCGGGCAUGUUGCAACUUGCAUACAAUGUCAAAAAUCGUUCAAUCGUGACAUAGAUGCCUACCAUGUGCAUGCCCACCCACUUGCAAAAGUUAGGUCAUUCGAAGGAUGUCUAAAAAUAGACUUGUUCAACAGAUGUUGUUUGGGUCUAAAAGUAGGAUUCAAACCUGGCAUCCUUCGACCUGUCUAAAAGUGUUGGGGAACGUAGCAGAAAUUCAAAAUUUUCCUACGCAUCACCAAGAUCUAUCUAUGGAGAAACCAGCUACGAGUAGAAGGAGAGUGCAUCUACAUACCCUUGUAGAUCGCUAAGCGGAAGCGUUCAAGUGAACGGGGUUGAUGGAGUCGUACUCGUCGUGAUUCAAAUCACCGAUGAUCAAGUACCGAACGCACGGCACCUCCGCGUUCAACACACGUACAGCCCGGUGACGUCUCCCACGCCUUGAUCCAGCAAGGAGAGAGGGAGAGGUUGAGGAAGACUCCAUCCAACAGCAGCACAACGGCGUGGUGGUAGUGGAGGAGCGUGGCAAUCCAGCAGGGCUUCGCCAAGCACCAUGGGAGAGGAGGAGGAGGGAGAGGGGCAGGGCUGCACCAACGAGAGAUCAAAUCGCGUGUUAUGGGCAGCCCCAUGCCUCAAUAUAUAUAGGGGGGAAGGGGGCUGCGCCCCCUUUAGGGUUUUCCCACCCCUAGGGGCGGCGGCCAGCCCUAGAUGGGUUUUGGGGUGCGGCCAAGAAGGGGGGGGAGGAGUCCAUCCUCCCCAAGGCACCUCGGAGGUGCCUUCCCCCUUGAGGACUCUUCCCUCUAGGGUUCCCUAGGCGCAUGGGCCUCUUGGGGCUGGUGCCCUUGGCCCAUGUAGGCCAAGGCGCACCCCCUACAGCCCAUGUGGCCCCCCGAGGCAGGUGGCCCCACCCGGUGGGCCCCUGGGACCCUUCCGGUGGUCCCGGUACAAUACCGAUGACCCCGAAACUUGUCCCGAUCGCCGAAACAGGACUUCCUAUAUAUAAAUCUUUACCUCCGGACCAUUCCGGAGCUCCUCGUGACGUCCGGGAUCUUAUCCGGGACUCCGGACAACAUUCGGUAACCACAUACAAGCUUCCUUUAUAACCCUAGCGUCAUCGAACCUUAAGUGUGUAGACCCUACGGGUUCGGGAGACAUGCAGACAUGACCGAGACGUUCUCCGGUCAAUAACCAACAGCGGGAUCUGGAUACCCAUGUUGGCUCCCACAUGUUCCACGAUGAUCUCAUCGGAUGAACCACGAUGUCAAGGACUCAAUCGAUCCCGUAUACAAUUCCCUUUGUCUAGCGGUAUUUUACUUGCCCGAGAUUCGAUCGUCGGUAUCCAAUACCUUGUUCAAUCUCGUUACCGGCAAGUCACUUUACUCGUUCCGUAACACAUCAUCCCGUGAUCAACUCCUUGGUCACAUUGCGCAUAUGAUGAUGUCCUACCGAGUGGGCCCAGAGAUACCUCUCCGUUUACACGGAGUGACAAAUCCCAGUCUCGAUCCGCAUAAAACAAUAGAUACUUUCGGAGAUACCUGUAGUGCACCUUUAUAGUCACCCAGUUACGUUGUGACGUUUGAUACACCCAAAGCACUCCUACGGUAUCCAGGAGUUACACGAUCUCAUGGUCGAAGGAAGAGAUACUUGACAUUGGCAAAGCUUUAGCAAAUGAACUACACGAUCUUUUGUGCUAGUCUUAGGAUUGGGUCUUGUCCAUCACAUCAUUCUCCUAAUGAUGUGAUCCCGUUAUCAACGACAUCCAAUGUCCAUAGCCAGGAAACCAUGACUAUCUGUUGAUCACAACGAGCUAGUCAACUAGAGGCUCACUAGGGACAUAUUGUGGUCUAUGUAUUCACACGUGUAUUACGAUUUCCGGAUAAUACAGUUAUAGCAUGAAUAAAAGACAAUUAUCAUGAACAAGGAAAUAUAAUAAUAAUACUUUUAUUAUUGCCUCUAGGGCAUAUUUCCAACAGUCUCCCACUUGCACUAGAGUCAAUAAUCUAGUUCACAUCGCCAUGUGAUUAACACUCACAGGUCACAUCGCCAUGUGACUAAUACCCAAGAGUUUACUAGAGUCAGUAGUCUAGUUCACAUUACUAUGUGAUUAACACUCAAUGAGUUUUAUGUUUGAUCAUGUUGCUUGUGAGAGAGGUUUUAGUCAACGGGUCUGAACCUUUCAGAUCCGUGUGUGCUUUACAAAUCUCUAUGUCAUCUCCUAGAUGCAGCUACCACGCUCUAUUUGGAGCUAUUCCAAACAACUGUUCUACUUGGAGCUAUUCUAAAUUAUUGCUCCAUUAUAUGUAUCCGGUCUCUCUACUCAGAGCUAUCCGGAUAGGUGUCAAGCUUGCAUCGUCGUAACCUUUACGACGAACUCUUUUACCACCUUCAUAAUCGAGAAAAUUCCUUAGUCCACUAGUUACUAAGGAUAACUUUGACCGCUGUCCUGUGAGCCAUUCUUGGAUCACUCUUGUACCCCUUGACUGACUCAUGGCAAGGCACACUUCAGGUGCGGUACACAGCAUAGCAUACUGAAGAGCCUACGUCUUAAGCAUAGGGGACGACCUUCGUCCUUUCUCUCUAUUCUGCCGUGGUCGAGCUUUAAGUCUUAACUUCGUACCUUACAAUUCAGGCAAGAACUUCUUCUUUGACUGAUCCUUCUUGAAUACCUUCAAGAUCAUGUCAAGGUAUGUGCUCAUUUGAAAGUACCAUUAAGCGUUUUGAUCUAUCCUUAUAGAUCUUGAUGCUCAAUGUUCAAGUAGCUUAAUCCAGGCUUUCCAUUGAAAAACACCUUUCAAAUAACCCUAUAUGCUUUCUAGAAAUUCUACAUCAUUUCUGAUCAUCAAUAUGUCAACAACAUAUACUCAUCAGAAAUUCUAUAGUGCUCCCACUCACUUCUUUGGAAAUACAAGUUUCUCAUAAACUUUGUACAAACCCAAAAUCUUUGAUCAUCAUCAAAACAUACAUUCCAACUCCGAGAUGCUCACUCCAGUCCUUAGAAGGAUUGCUGGAGCUUUGCAUACUUAUUAGCAUCUUUCGGGAUUGACAAAACCUUCCGGUUGUAUCACAUACAACCUUUCCUCAUUAAAAUCGUCGAGGAAACAAUGUUUUGACAUCCUAUCUGCAAGAUUUCAUAAAUAAUGCAGUAAUCGCUAAUAUAAUUUCAACAGACUCUUAGCAUCGCUACGAGUGAGAAAAUCUCAUUGUAGUCAACUCCUUGAACUUGUCAAAAAACAUCUUAACGACAAGUCGAGCUUUCUUAAUGGUGACAUUUACCAUCAUUGUCCGUCUUCCUUUUGAAAUCCAUCUGUACUCAUUAGCCUUACGACCAUCGAGCCGUUCUGCCAAAGUCUACACUUUGUUUUCAUACAUGGAUCCUCUCUCGGAUUUUAUGGCUUCUAACCAUUUGUUGGAAUUUGGGCCCACCGUUGCUUCUCCAUAGCUCGUAGGUUCAUUGUUGUCUAGCAACAUGACCUUCAAGACAGGAUUACGUACCACUCUGAAGUAGUACGCAUCCUUGUCAUCCCACGAGGUUUGGUAGUGACUUGAUCCGAAGUUUCAUGAUCAAUAUCAUAAGCUUCCACUUCAAUUGGUGUAGGUGCCACAGGAACAACUUCCUGUGCCCUGCCACACACUAGUUGAAGAGACGGUUCAAUAACCUCAUCAAGUCUCCACCAUCCUCCCACUCAACUCUUUUGAGAGAAACCUUUCCUCGAGAAAGGACCCGAUUCUAGAAACAAUUCAUAUUGUUUUCGGAUCUGAAUUAGGAGGUAUACCCAACUGUUUUGGGUGUCCUAUGAAGAUGUAUUUUAUCCGCUUUGGGUUCGAGCUUAAUCCUGAAACUUUUUCACAUAAGCGUCGCAGCCUUUAAGAAAUGACAACUUAGGUUUCUCUAAACCAUAAUCCAUACGGUGUCAUCUCAUCGGAAUUACGUGGUGCCCUAUUUAAAGUGAAUGUGGUUGUCUCUCAUGCCUAACCCAUGAACAAUUGUGGUAAUUCGAUAAGAGACAUCAUGGUAUGCAUCAUAUCCAAUAGGGUGCAGUUAUGAUGUUCGGACACACCAUCACACUAUGGUGUUCCAGGCUGUAUUAGUUGUGAAACAAUUUCCACAAUGUCUUAAUUCCGUGCCAAACUCGUAAUUCAGAUAUUCAUCUCUAUGAUCAUAUCAUAGAUAUUUUUAUCCUCUUAUCACGACGAUCUUCCAACUUCACACUGAAAUUACUUGAACCUUUCAAUAAUUUAGACUCGUGAUUCAUCAAGUAAAUAUACUCAACAUCUACUCAAAUCAUCUGUGAAGUAAGAACAUAACGAUAUUUACUGCAUGCCUCAGCACUCAUUGGACUGCACACAUCAAAAUGUGUUGCUUCCAACAAGUUGCUAUCUUGUUCCAUCUUACUGAAACCGAGGCUUUUCAGUCAUCUUGUCCAUGUGGUAUGAUUUGCAUAUCUCAAGUGAUUCAAAAUCAAGUGAGUCUAAACGAUCCAUCUGCAUGGAGUUUCUUCAUGCGUAUACACCAAUAGACAUGGUUCGCAUGUCUCAAACUUUUCAAAAACGAGUGAGUCCAAAGAUCCAUCAACAUGGAGCUUCUUCAUGCGUUUUAUACCAAUAUGACUUACAUGGCAGUGCCACAAGUAAGUGGUACUAUCAUUACUAUCUUAUAUCUUUUGGCAUGAAAAUGUGUAUCACUACGAUCGAGAUUCAAUAUACCAUUCAGGUUUAAUACUAAUCUUGAUGGUAGAGGGAGCGUGCGAUGCUUGAUCACAUCUAGCUUGGAAAAAACUUCCAACACAUAUCGUCAGCUCACCUUUAGCUAGUCUCCGUUUAUUCCGUAGCUUUUAUUUCGAGUUACUAACACUUAGCAACCGAACCGGUAUCUAAUACCCUGGUGCUACUAGGAGUACUAGUAAAGUACACAUUAACAUAAUGUAUAUCCAAUAUACUUCUAUCAACCUUACCAGCCUUCUCAUCUACCAAGUAUCUAGGGUGGUUCCGCUUCAGUGUCCGUUCCUCUCAUUACAGAAGCACUUAGUCUCGGGUUUGGGUUCAACCUUGGGUUUCUUCACUAGAGCAGCAACUGUUUUGCCGUUUCAUGAAGUAUCCCUUUGUUCCCUUGCCCUUCUUGAAACUAGUGGUCUCACUGACCAUCAACGAUUGAUGCUCCUUCUUGAUUUCUACUUUCGUGGUGUCAAACAUCGCGAAUAUCUCAAGGAUCAUCACAUCUAUCCCUGAUAUGUUAUAGUUCAUCACGAAGCUCUAGCAGCUUGGUGGUAGUGACUUCGGAGGAACUAUCACUAUCUCAUUUGGAAGAUCAACUCCCACUCGAUUCAAGUGAUUGUUGCACUCAGACAAUCUGAGCACAAGCUCAACGAUUGAGCUUUUCUCCCUUAGUUUGUAGGCUAAGAAAAUGUCGGAGGCCUUAUACCUCUUGACGUGGGCACGAGCCUGAAAUCCCAAUUUCAGCCCUCGAAACAUCUCAUAUGUUCCGCGAUGUUUCGAAAACGUCUUUGGUGCCUCUACUUAAACCAUUUAAUUGAACUAUCACGUAGUUAUCAAAACGUGUAUGUCCGAUGUUCGCAACAUCGACAAACGACGUUGGGGUUCAGCACACUGAGCGGUGCAUUAAGGACAUAAGCUUUCUACUGAUCGCAUAAUCGCUACUAUCAACUUUCAACUAUAUUUUCUCUAGGAACAUAUCUAAACAGUAGAACUAUAGCGUGAGCUACGACAUAAUUUGCAAAAGGUCUUUUGACUAUGUUCAGGAUAAUUAAGUUCAUCUUAUGAACUCCCACUCAGAUAGACAUCCCUCUGGUCAUCUAAGUGAUUACAUGAUCCGAGUCAACUAGGCCGUGUCCGAUCAUCACGUGAGACGGACUAGCCAACAUCGGUGAACAUCUUCAUGUUGAUCGUAUCUGCUAUACGACUCAUGCUCGACCUUUCGGUCUCCGUGUUCCGAGGCCAUGUCUGCACAUGCUAGGCUCGUCAAGUUAACCCUAAGUGUUUUCGCUGUGUAAAACUGUCUUACACCCGUUGUAUGUGAACGUAAGAAUCCAUCACACCCGAUCAUCACGUGGUGCUUAGAAGCGACGAACUGUAGCAACGGUGCACAGUUAGGGGAGAACACUUCUUGAAAUUUUGUAAGGGAUCAUCUUAUUUACUACCGUCGUCCUAAGUAAACAAGAUGCAUAAACAUAAUAAACAUCACAUGCAAUUAUAUAGUUGUGACAUGAUAUGGCCAAUAUCAUAUAGCUCCAUUGAUCUCCAUCUUCGGGGCUCCAUGAUCAUCUUGUCACCGGCAUGACACCAUGAUCUCCAUCAUCAUGAUCUCCAUCAUCGUGUCUUCAUGAAGUUGUCACGCCAACGACUACUUCUACUUCUAUGACUAACGCGUGUAGCAAUAAAGUAAAGUAAGUUACAUGGCGUUCUUCAAUGACACGCAGGUCAUACAAAAAUAAAGACAACUCCUAUGGCUCCUGCCGGUUGUCAUACUCAUCGACAUGCAAGUCGUGAAUCCUAUUACAAGAACAUGAUCAAUCUCAUACAUCACAUAUAUAUCAUUCAUCACAUCCUUUUGGCCAUAUCACAUCACAUGACAUACCCUGCAAAAAUAAGUUAGACGUCCUCUAAUUGUUGUUUGCAUGUUUUACGUGGCUGCUAUGGGUUUCUAGCAAGAACGUUUCUUACCUACGCAAAACCACAACGUGAUAUGCCAAUUGCUAUUUACCCUUCAUAAGGACCCUUUUCAUCGAAUCCGUUCCGACUAAAGUGGGAGAGACUGGCACCCGCUAGCCACCUUAUGCACCAAGUACAUGUCAAUCGGUGGAACCUGUCUCACGUAAGAGUACGUGUAAGGUCGGUCCGGGCCGCUUCAUCCCAUAAUACCGUCGAAACAAGAUUGGACUAGUAACGGUAAGCAUAUUGAACAACAUCAACACCCACAACUACUUUGUGUUCUACUCGUGCAAAGAAUCUACGCAAUAGACCUAGCUCAUGAUGCCACUGUUGGGGAACGUAGCAGAAAUUCAAAAUUUUCCUACGCGUCACCAAGAUCUAUCUAUGGAGAAACCAGCUACGAGUAGAAGGAGAGUGCAUCUACAUACCCUUGUAGAUCGCUAAGCGGAAGCGUUCAAGUGAAUGGGGUUGAUGGAGUCGUACUCGUCGUGAUUCAAAUCACCGAUGAUCAAGUGCCGAACGCACGGCACCUCCGCGUUCAACACACGUACAGCCCGGUGACGUCUCCCACGCCUUGAUCCAGCAAGGAGAGAGGGAGAGGUUGAGGAAGACUCCAUCCAACAGCAGCACAACGGCGUGGUGGUGGUGGAGGAGCGUGGCAAUCCAGCAGGGCUUCGCCAAGCACCAUGGGAGAGGAGGAGGAGGGAGAGGGGCAGGGCUGCACCAACGAGAGAUCAAAUCGCGUGUUAUGGGCAGCCCCAUGCCUCAAUAUAUAUAGGGGGGAAGGGGGCUGCGCCCCCUUUAGGGUUUUCCCACCCCUAGGGGCGGCAGCCAGCCCUAGAUGGGUUUUGGGGUGCGGCCAAGAAGGGGGGGAGGAGUCCAUCCUCCCCAAGGCACCUCGGAGGUGCCUUCCCCCUUGAGGACUCUUCCCUCUAGGGUUCCCUAGGUGCAUGGGCCUCUUGGGGCUGGUUCCCUUGGCCCAUGUAGGCCAAGGCGCACCCCCUACAGCCCAUGUGCCCCCCCGGGGCAGGUGGCCCCACCCGGUGGGCCCCCGGGACCCUUCCGGUGGUCCCGGUACAAUACCGAUGACCCCGAAACUUGUCCCGAUCGCCGAAACAGGACUUCCUAUAUAUAAAUCUUUACCUCCGGACCAUUCCGGAGCUCCUCGUGACGUCCGGGAUCUCAUCCGGGACUCCGAACAACAUUCGGUAACCACAUACAAGCUUCCUUUAUAACCCUAGCGUCAUCGAACCUUAAGUGUGUAGACCCUACGGGUUCGGGAGACAUGCAGACAUGACCGAGACGUUCUCCGGUCAAUAACCAACAUCGGGAUCUGGAUACCCAUGUUGGCUCCCACAUGUUCCACGAUGAUCUCAUCGGAUGAACCACGAUGUCAAGGACUCAAUCGAUCCCGUAUACAAUUCCCUUUGUCUAGCGGUAUUUUACUUGCCCGAGAUUCGAUCGUCGGUAUCCAAUACCUUGUUCAAUCUCGUUACCGGCAAGUCACUUUACUCGUUCCGUAACACAUCAUCCCGUGAUCAACUCCUUGGUCACAUUGCGCAUAUGAUGAUGUCCUACCGAGUGGGCCCAGAGAUACCUCUCCGUUUACACGGAGUGACAAAUCCCAGUCUCGAUCCGCAUAAAACAAUAGAUACUUUCGGAGAUACCUGUAGUGCACCUUUAUAGUCACCCAGUUACGUUGUGACGUUUGAUACACCCAAAGCACUCCUACGGUAUCCAGGAGUUACACGAUCUCAUGGUCGAAGGAAGAGAUACUUGACAUUGGCAAAGCUCUAGCAAAUGAACUACACGAUCUUUUGUGCUAGUCUUAGGAUUGGGUCUUGUCCAUCACAUCAUUCUCCUAAUGAUGUGAUCCCGUUAUCAACGACAUCCAAUGUCCAUAGCCAGGAAACCAUGACUAUCUGUUGAUCACAACGAGCUAGUCAACUAGAGGCUCACUAGGGACAUAUUGUGGUCUAUGUAUUCACACGUGUAUUACGAUUUCCGGAUAAUACAGUUAUAGCAUGAAUAAAAGACAAUUAUCAUGAACAAGGAAAUAUAAUAAUAAUACUUUUAUUAUUGCCUCUAGGGCAUAUUUCCAACAAAAAGUACGCCAGAAGGCACCGUCUGAGAGCUUGUUGUUUCUUGGGACCCUUAAAAUAAGUUCAUAGAAUUGAGAAAAAUCAUGAAUUUAAGAAAAUGAAAAAUAAGAAGAAACAAAUAAACUGAAGAAGAAAAGGCCAACCAAAAGAAAAAGAACAGACUGAAGAUGCACAACAAAGAGAAUAAAAGAAGUAAUAAGACACGACAAGUGAGUUGUCCUAUUUAGUUAUAGUGGGUGAAAGUAAUCCAAGAUGUCCAUAGUUCGAAUCCUACUUCAUACACCUAUUUUUUGAAGGUUAAAAAAAGAAAAGAAAAAUGGACCAGACCCAAGACGGAAGGGUGUGUGCGCCGGUUUGUGUUAUGCUACUCCCUAUACAACGGGAGCACCUAGUCAUCGCUUGCUGCGCUAGUUAGCGGACGCAGCGUCGCACGCCACCUUUGAUGGGCUGGCCCAACUACACGAGCGAUCAGCUGUCGCUCGUCAAGAGCAUACGCCCGAUCGCUUCUUCGUGGUUCGACAAAAAAAACUUCUUCAUAUUUGACCUGGACGAAAAGUUGACCAUUGACAUGUUUGACCUUUGAUCGUUGACUUUGAAAAACAUUUCAUAUUUUUGGAAAAGUUCAUGGAUUUGAAAAGUUAGCGAAUUUGCAAAAUGUUCACAAAUUAAAAAUACCAAGAAUUGAUUCUUUUAAAAAUUUGGGGGAAAGGUUCAAGGAUUUGGAAAAUUUUCAUGAAUUUUAAAAGAAGUUCAUCGAUUUUGGAAAAAUGUUUAUAAAUUUUGAAAAAAGUCCAUUGAUUUUGAAAAAAAUGUUCAUCUACUUUGAAAAUAAUCAUUCAUUUUAAAAAAAGUUCAUUAAUUUAGAAAUAAGAAGUUCAUCGAUUUUGAAUAAAGUUCAUCAACUUUGGAAAGAAAAAUCAUCAAUAUUAAAAAUCAUUAAUUAAAAAAACAAAACUGAAAAGUUUGCACAUUGCAAAAGAAAAAGGAAAACAAAAAAGGAGCAUAAAAAGAAAAGGAAAAAGAAAAAUAAAAGCCGAACAAAAAACUAGACAAAAAGGGACAAGGAAUAAUAACAAAGGAAAUAGGAAAGAGGAAAGAGAAUAGAAUAAAAAAAAAGAAGUAUGUAAACACAACAGCUGACGGCGGCUGGUUGGUUAUCGCGUCAAACUUUGUACCAGGAAGUCCCUGGUUCAAGUCGUUGCUGACGGUGGCUGGAUGGGUUAAUCUGAGUCGUCCAUGUAUUUAGGGGGUGUGCCGAAGCAUAAGCGCUAGUUUCAAUCCUUCAUUGGUUUCAGAACUAAAUGCAAUACUCACUCUAUAUCAAAAAAUAAGAUGUUUUUUGGUUUAGAAAUAUAUAGGGGAAGUGUUAGUUUGCAUCCAUGCAGCAGAGGAAAUAUUUGAGUGAAUUGCAGAAAACCAUCACAUUAGCAUAUAGGUUUGCAGAAAAGACUCUUUUACGAAUUUGGGCCGGAAACCACUGAUUUUUGGUCUAAUCUUUUGCAAAAGAAACACUGAUCGGUCUAUUUGGACAUUUUAACCGUGAUUAUGACAUGUGGGGCCUGUAUUUGAUGAUGUGUUAUAACUGUCAGUUCCUGGAACUUUUACAGAGGCACCCUUCAAUCUGAAAACAAAAAUGCAAUUAGGCCCUUGUCAUACCCAGCUCAGCCAUAUUCCGCCGCCGGCCAUCCCGCGCUCGUGCGCUGUCGUCCACGCCGAUGCCCCGGGGGCGGCGGAGCUCACCGGCGAGGGUUCCUGCUUGGAUGCGCCCGUGCUGUGCGCCGCUCCUGCUGCUUGCUCGCCGUCGUUGGCUAGUUGCUCAGACCUCGAGCAUGGCCCGCCGCAGAGCCGUCCGUCGCCGCCGUCCUCGUGGCAGCCCGAGCUCGCCGGUGGAAGAACGCAUCCGCCUGCCCCUCUGGACCGGCCUCCCCCGCGCGAUGAAGCUCCAUGGCCUGGAGUUCCUCGGCCAUCCCGAGCACCCACCUGGAUCUGUCGGGGUCACCCGCGGUCACCCACCUGGAACGCGAGCACAGGGUCGCCGGUCACCGCCAGGCCAUGCACGAGUCUGUCGAGGAGGCAGUGGUGCUCGCAAACCUGCGCCCAGGCCGUGCACGGGUCAACCCUCGUGGUCCACUCCUGUCCCAGGGACGCCUGCGGGCAGUACAACCCCGCCAGUUCCGAUGACGACUCCAACGGCUGCUGCGCCACAGCCGUCGCCAAUCCUAUGGUUUUCGUCGUCGUCAGCCAUGGCCACAGCGCCCAGAGGGGGAAGGGGGCGGCGUGUCACCGUCGGCCGGUGAUGCCGCGUCCUCAUCGGGCGGUGGUAGGACGGCCGCCAGAGGAGGAUGCAGCGGAUGGGUCGUACGCGCGGGUGCGCUGCUGGCUUGGGGUCGCCGGCGACGAGGGGCCGUGCUGCGCCGCUGCUUUCCCCGGUGUCCUGGAUCCCGUGGACCACGACGGCGAGGACGAGCACGCCCUGGAUCUCGGGAGGGAGGGAGUUUCUUAGGGAGAUUUUUCCAGAGAGGGACGAGUUUUUGGCAAAAAAUACCUUGUCUAAUGAAUGUUACGCCACGUCAGCAAAUGGUGGCCCCACAUGUCAUAAUCGCAAUUAAAAUGUCCAAAUAGACUGAUCAAUGUUUUUUGCAAAAGAUUAGACCGAAAAUUAGUGGUUUCUGGCCUAAAUUCAUAAAAGAGUCUUUUCUGCAAACCUAUGCGCUAAUGUGGUGGUUUUCUGCAAUUCACUCGAAAUAUUUCUACAAUCAAUAUUGAUGGUCACCCGUUCAUUACUUAUUAUGAGACGACAUAACUGAUAUGAGGCUUUUUUCUACUGAGUUUCUGGAGAUGCUCGGUGCAAAUUACCAUUUUGUUUAUUUGGAUGCUUAGUGUUCCUUUGUACAUGGCACUUCUUAUGUAUGGGAUUUAUUUUGCACCUACAACAAUCCACCAGGCACCUAGAAACUUUCUUUAUAUUGUUGCCAUGUUACUGAAUACUCUAUAAUGGUUUUGCAUGUGAUUUUAUAAAUAUGUAUCAACUCAUUUUCAUCCUGCAGCAACGCGCGGGUAUCAUCUAGCUUACAGCGCAAGGCACCUCUAGAAAACAAGUAUCCAUUUCGAUUUGUGAGUGGCAACUGCCCAUAUCCCACUUCUUCUUUUUUCAACCGGACUCUCGCCCCUUUUCAUGAAUCACUUAACGAAAAUAUUCAGUAUAAGUCUCCUAACAGCAACUAGCGAUGAAUAAACACAAAAACAAGGAGGCAGGAAAGAGGAAAAGCAAGUUGGGGCAUUAACAGGAACCCACUAAAGAUGCUCGAUGUCGAAACAUCUGCUUUUUUCUGCAGGGCGAAAACAUGUUAACACUAACAACCAGCGAACAAGUAACACCAACGAUCGUCUACAGAACACCAAAAGCACAAACUACCACUCAAAGGGCAUCAAACCACAGUGAGCAAAAAGAAACCCCCAGCACCAGCGAAAUCAGCAUGAGGCACACCGCCACAAAUCUUCACCCGCGCUGAGCCCCAUUAGCAUCUUCGAUCAUGAGUCUCCCCCAAGCAGAAGCACGAUCAGCGAGGGAUGCGGCAACCUGGACUGGUCUCUUCACACCAACCUGAAAGUCAACUCUAUCAUCCAGCUUCAGCAGCCCUGCCCAGUACAUCAUAAACGAACAUGCGGUGAAAAUGGCUUCCAAGGGAGAACCCACCACGCGCUUCUCAAAUGUAACUUUGUUUCGAGUACACCAAAUGCCCGAGGAUAUUGCAGCCAGAAUCAUCAUAUACAUUUUGCCUCCAGGGAAGAAGCAAUAGAGCCAAGAUAAACCUUGCCAAAUAAAUCUGGGACUACAGGAAGCACCAAGAGCCAAACCAAAAAACCCCAGAUAGGUCAGCAAAAGAACAAGGAAGAAAAGAUCGUUAGCAGUUUAUACUUCUCGGCAAAAAGAGCAAGUAGGAUCCCCUAACCAAUUACGCUUGCAUAAAUUAUCACGCGUAAGGGCAACAUUUUGAAAUAGUUGCCAUAUGAAGAUCUUAAUCUUCAGGGGAUGCAAGCUUUCCAAAUCCAUUUGUUAUUCGGACCGGAUACUUCUCUACUAUUUUUGAUUUGUCGGUUUUGUUUUAUGUCUUUUUGUCAGACUUCUGUGUUUGGAUGUGUAUAUCCUAAUUAUAUAGAGGUCAGGUUAUAUCCGUUUGAUGCUACAUUUUGAGAUAAUAAAACCGCCCUUUAUCGAGAAAAAAGUCUUUUUCCAACCAUUCAUAAACAGAUUUAACGGUAAAUCCAUAUCCCACUUCGUAAUAUCCCAUAUUCCAUGUCCUUGAAUUUCUAAGAGAAGAGGGGGGAUAUAAUACUUUGAAAAUUGAGAAUUUUAGUGGCUGAAAUUGUGCUCCCAUCUACUCUCUCUUUUAAAUAUAAGUUUUUUUUAAAGAUUUCGAUACAAACUACACAUGAAUGUAUAUAAAUAUAUUUGAUGGUGUAGAUUCACUCAUUUUGCUCCGUUUUUUUAGAAAAGGAGGAUGACCCCCGGCCUCUGCAUCUGGGAGAUGCAUGCGGUCACUUUAUUGAUUAUUUUCGAUGACCUUACAAAGUAUUACAACAAUAUGCCUGAAUCCGUCAUCUUGGCAACAUAUGCCACUACUCCUAUCCAUAUGAUGAUGGGGCGCUAACUAGGCCAAAUACCCAGACCACUCACCUAAGCCUAUCAUCAAAAGUCAGAAGCCCCAGCCGAGCCACAUACCGGUCUAGAGCAUAAACUGGUCUGACGCAAUCACAUGUGUUGUCGCCGCCAUCUUCCACAAGUCCGUCUUCAGAGCAGAUAUUGAGGCUUCUACCUUGUCAAACCACCCUGCUAUCAACGCCACCAUGACGCCAGACAACUACCUCCUUCUGCGCGAGUCCAUCAUCGCGCAUCGGGCGCCGAGUCUCCACUGCGCCACGCCACCGAGAUCCGUCGUCAUCAAUGUGUAGGAUGAAGCACCGCUCCACAAAAAAAAAC
rnacentral:lncRNA from 1 species